CCUACGGGAGGCAGCAGUGGGGGAUAUUGCACAAUGGGGGAAACCCUGAUGCAGCGACGCCGCGUGUGGGAAGACGGUCCUCUGGAUUGUAAACCACUGUCCCCAGGGACGAAGAUGACGGUACCUGGGGAGGAAGCUCCGGCUAACUACGUGCCAGCAGCCGCGGUAAUACGUAGGGAGCGAGCGUUGUCCGGAGUUACUGGGUGUAAAGGGAGCGUAGGCGGGGAUGAAAGUUGGGUGUCAAAACUACCGGCUCAACUGGUAGUCGCACUCAAAACUGCAGCUCUUGAGUGAAGUAGAGGCAGGCGGAAUUCCUAGUGUAGCGGUGAAAUGCGUAGAUAUUAGGAGGAACACCAGUGGCGAAGGCGGAUUGCUAGACUGUAACUGACACUGAGGCACGAAAGCGUGGGGAGCAAACAGGAUUAGAUACCCGGGUAGUC
rnacentral:rRNA from 1 species